AAAUUGAAGAGUUUGAUCAUGGCUCAGAUUGAACGCUGGCGGCAGGCCUAACACAUGCAAGUCGAGCGGUAACACAGAGAGCUUGCUCUCGGGUGACGAGCGGCGGACGGGUGAGUAAUGUCUGGGAAACUGCCUGAUGGAGGGGGAUAACUACUGGAAACGGUAGCUAAUACCGCAUAACGUCGCAAGACCAAAGUGGGGGACCUUCGGGCCUCAUGCCAUCAGAUGUGCCCAGAUGGGAUUAGCUAGUAGGUGGGGUAAUGGCUCACCUAGGCAACGAUCCCUAGCUGGUCUGAGAGGAUGACCAGCCACACUGGAACUGAGACACGGUCCAGACUCCUACGGGAGGCAGCAGUGGGGAAUAUUGCACAAUGGGCGCAAGCCUGAUGCAGCCAUGCCGCGUGUAUGAAGAAGGCCUUCGGGUUGUAAAGUACUUUCAGCGAGGAGGAAGGCGUUAAGGUUAAUAACCUUAGCGAUUGACGUUACUCGCAGAAGAAGCACCGGCUAACUCCGUGCCAGCAGCCGCGGUAAUACGGAGGGUGCAAGCGUUAAUCGGAAUUACUGGGCGUAAAGCGCACGCAGGCGGUCUGUCAAGUCGGAUGUGAAAUCCCCGGGCUCAACCUGGGAACUGCAUUCGAAACUGGCAGGCUAGAGUCUUGUAGAGGGGGGUAGAAUUCCAGGUGUAGCGGUGAAAUGCGUAGAGAUCUGGAGGAAUACCGGUGGCGAAGGCGGCCCCCUGGACAAAGACUGACGCUCAGGUGCGAAAGCGUGGGGAGCAAACAGGAUUAGAUACCCUGGUAGUCCACGCCGUAAACGAUGUCGACUUGGAGGUUGUGCCCUUGAGGCGUGGCUUCCGGAGCUAACGCGUUAAGUCGACCGCCUGGGGAGUACGGCCGCAAGGUUAAAACUCAAAUGAAUUGACGGGGGCCCGCACAAGCGGUGGAGCAUGUGGUUUAAUUCGAUGCAACGCGAAGAACCUUACCUACUCUUGACAUCCAGAGAACUUAGCAGAGAUGCUUUGGUGCCUUCGGGAACUCUGAGACAGGUGCUGCAUGGCUGUCGUCAGCUCGUGUUGUGAAAUGUUGGGUUAAGUCCCGCAACGAGCGCAACCCUUAUCCUUUGUUGCCAGCGGUCCGGCCGGGAACUCAAAGGAGACUGCCAGUGAUAAACUGGAGGAAGGUGGGGAUGACGUCAAGUCAUCAUGGCCCUUACGAGUAGGGCUACACACGUGCUACAAUGGCAUAUACAAAGAGAAGCGACCUCGCGAGAGCAAGCGGACCUCAUAAAGUAUGUCGUAGUCCGGAUUGGAGUCUGCAACUCGACUCCAUGAAGUCGGAAUCGCUAGUAAUCGUAGAUCAGAAUGCUACGGUGAAUACGUUCCCGGGCCUUGUACACACCGCCCGUCACACCAUGGGAGUGGGUUGCAAAAGAAGUAGGUAGCUUAACCUUCGGGAGGGCGCUUACCACUUUGUGAUUCAUGACUGGGGUGAAGUCGUAACAAGGUAACCGUAGGGGAACCUGCGGUUGGAUCACCUCCUUA
rnacentral:rRNA from 1 species